CCCUUUGUAGCUCAGUUGGAUUAGAGCAUCGGACUGUAAAUCCGGGGGCCCCGGUUCGAUUCCGGGCGAAGGGA
rnacentral:tRNA from 1 species